AAUCAACGCUGGCGGCGCGCUUAACACAUGCAAGUCGAACGGGAAAGUGGAGCAAUCCAUGAGUACAGUGGCGUACGGGUGAGUAACACGUGGGUAAUCUACCUCUUAGUGGGGAAUAACCCUGGGAAACCGGGGCUAAUACCGCAUAAGCCUGAGAAGGGAAAGCAGCAAUGCGCUGAGAGAGGAGCCCGCGGCCGAUUAGCUAGUUGGUAGGGUAAAGGCCUACCAAGGCAGAGAUCGGUAGCCGGCCUGAGAGGGCACACGGCCACACUGGCACUGAAACACGGGCCAGACUCCUACGGGAGGCAGCAGUGGGGAAUCUUGCACAAUGGGGGCAACCCUGAUGCAGCGACGCCGCGUGAGCGAUGAAGCCCUUCGGGGUGUAAAGCUCUUUCGUCAGGGAAGAUGA
rnacentral:rRNA from 1 species